rnacentral:rRNA from 1 species
UACGUAGGGGGCUAGCGUUGUCCGGAAUCAUUGGGCGUAAAGCGCGUGUAGGCGGCCCGGUAAGUCCGCUGUGAAAGUCGGGGGCUCAACCCUCGAAUGCCGGUGGAUACUGUCGGGCUAGAGUACGGAAGAGGCGAGUGGAAUUCCUGGUGUAGCGGUGAAAUGCGCAGAUAUCAGGAAGAACACCUAUGGCGAAGGCAGCUCUCUGGGACGGUACUGACGCUGAGACGCGAAAGCGUGGGGAGCGAACAGG